CAGGGAAGAAUACCAGAACCUCCUCCUCAGAAAUGGAAACCAAAGAAGUGAGGGAUGGUAAAAUACAUACUAAAGCGGAAGUCAUCUGCUGUGAGUGACUGACCAACACCUCCAUGUUACAGGCAGAAAAGCGGAGGAAGGGCUAAAUGGUUCACACUCUCCGUCUUGAAAGACAGGAAGUCUUCCUAGAAGACUCCUGCCUACGUUUCAGUAGCCCAGACUCAUCGACACAUCGCUAAACCUACUUGCAAGGUAAUGAAAUUGUAUCUUGGAUCCGAGUAAAAUGAGUGGUUCCUGAAGAAAGAAGUUAAGAACAUGAAAGAGAUGAGGAUUGUGUUAAUUUUCUAACUGGCAUACGAACUUAUGUGAGUCCUGGACCAAAUGACCUUGAUUCUGUGUCCAAUAUGAGUUUGUCCAUCUCUGCCAAUACUUCCUCCACCAAACAAGGCCUAUCUUUCAGUGGAUAAAAUUAAGUAAUGGCAUAAUGCUAGAGUCUUAAAUAUGAAGGCGGUGCUGGUUAUACACAGAAAGAAUUCCUCUGAUGAACACUUGUGCCAGGCAACACAACAGCAAACCAUCCUCCUUCCCAGAACUUUGUUAUUGAGUCUUCAGAUGCUGCUAUUUUUGCCCUGGGAGAAAGAUCCAGCUUAAUCCUUUCUUGACUGGAGGGCCCAGGACAUGAAGAGUCUAGAGUCAGUGGAACACGCAAAGCUCAUCCCUGCUGGCAAUGAGCUUUAGGGAGUCACUCAAGCCAGAAAAGGCAAUUUGGACUUCAAAUUCUGCUGUCUGUCCAGUUGAGCAGCAGCAGCCAUUUGGAACCAAGAAGAUAACCUUGAGGAUAAGAUCCACAUUCUGAGAUGAGAAGCAAAAGGGGCACAAGACCAAGAGAAUCUGCAGGCUUUUAAAGCCCUUCCAACUAGAGAGGAAGACUCAAUUUGAUACUACUCAAUCAGUGAUCCAAUACUAAGGUACGCAAGAGCUGAGGGGCAAGUGUCUCUGUGGAUAUUUUAACAUAUUCCCUACGCUAAAUCCAAGUCCUAGAUGUUACACCAGGCACAGAAGCUGUGCUCUCCUAGAUAAAGAUUUCAGAGGUUCCCACAGUCAUCACCUUCAGUCAUAGGAAACUUCUCGCCACUAAGUUUCUCCUGCGUGAAGGGAGAAAAACACACGAAGUAGGGACACGAUGACUCAGGAGUCAAGCACAUGAGAGCAGACGUCAGUUCCUCCACAUACCAGAGCUACAGAAACAGAUCAGUGACGAGUGCGACAGAAUAAGCCUCUCCCCGCCAAAGACCAAGUGUCCACAUCCUUUAACCCCGUC
ensembl:lncRNA